rnacentral:rRNA from 1 species
GAUGAACGCUAGCGACAGGCCUAACACAUGCAAGUCGAGGGGCAGCGGGGGUAGCAAUACCUGCCGGCGACCGGCGCACGGGUGAGUAACGCGUAUGCAACCUACCUAUAACAGGGGGAUAGCUCGGCGAAAGUCGGAUUAAUACCGCAUAAUACUGGGAUUCCGCAUGGGGUUCUAAGUUAAACAUUUAUGGGUUAUAGAUGGGCAUGCGUUCGAUUAGUUAGUUGGUAAGGUAACGGCUUACCAAGACAUCGAUCGAUCGGGGUUCUGAGAGGAAGGUCCCCCACACUGGAACUGAGACACGGUCCAGACUCCUACGGGAGGCAGCAGUGAGGAAUAUUGGUCAAUGGGCGCGAGCCUGAACCAGCCAAGUCGCGUGCAGGAUGACGGCCUUAUGGGUUGUAAACUGCUUUUAUAUGGGAAUAACGGUCGGGACGUGUCCUGAUGUGCAUGUACCAUAAGAAUAAGCAUCGGCUAACUCCGUGCCAGCAGCCGCA